rnacentral:tRNA from 1 species
AAAAUUUAGUUUAAAUAAAAUAUUAUCUUGUCAAGAUAGAGAUGCUAUAGAUUAGUAAUUUUUAA